rnacentral:siRNA from 1 species
CGGAGAAACGUCUGUUAGGUACAC